rnacentral:rRNA from 1 species
GACGAACGCUGGCGGCGUGCUUAACACAUGCAAGUCGAACGGAAAGGCCCUGCUUUUGUGGGGUGCUCGAGUGGCGAACGGGUGAGUAACACGUGAGUAACCUGCCCUUGACUUUGGGAUAACUUCAGGAAACUGGGGCUAAUACCGGAUAGGAGCUCCUGCUGCAUGGUGGGGGUUGGAAAGUUUCGGCGGUUGGGGAUGGACUCGCGGCUUAUCAGCUUGUUGGUGGGGUAGUGGCUUACCAAGGCUUUGACGGGUAGCCGGCCUGAGAGGGUGACCGGCCACAUUGGGACUGAGAUACGGCCCAGACUCCUACGGGAGGCAACAGUGGGGAAUAUUGCACAAUGGGCGGAAGCCUGAUGCAGCAACGCCGCGUGCGGGAUGACGGCCUUCGGGUUGUAAACCGCUUUCGCCUGUGACGAAGCGUGAGUGACGGAAAUGGGUAAAGAAGCACCGGCUAACUACGU